rnacentral:rRNA from 1 species
GGCGUGCUUAACACAUGCAAGUCGAACGAACCUUCGGGUUAGUGGCGGACGGGUGAGUAACGCGUGGGAAUCUGCCCUCAGGAGGGGGAUAACGGCUGGAAACGGCCGCUAAUACCCCAUAUGCCGAGAGGUGAAAUGAAUUUCGCCUGAGGAUGAGCCCGCGUCUGAUUAGCUAGUUGGUGAGGUAAGAGCUCACCAAGGCAUCGAUCAGUAGCUGGUCUGAGAGGAUGAUCAGCCACACUGGGACUGAGACACGGCCCAGACUCCUACGGGAGGCAGCAGUGGGGAAUUUUCCGCAAUGGGCGAAAGCCUGACGGAGCAACGCCGCGUGAGUGAAGAAGGCCCUUGGGUUGUAAAACUCUUUCGUCGGGGAAGAAAAUGACUGUACCCGAAUAAGAAG